GACGAACGCUGGCGGCGUGCUUAACACAUGCAAGUCGAACGGAAAGGCCCCCACCUUGGUGGGGGUGCUCGAGUGGCGAACGGGCGAGUAACACGUGGGUGAUCUGCCCUGUACUUCGGGAUAAGCUUGGGAAACUGGGUCUAAUACCGGAUAGGACCAUGGUUUAGUGUCUCAUGGUGGAAAAAUUAUUGUUUUGGUGCAGGAUGAGCUCGCGGCCUAUCAGCUUGUUGGUGGGGUAAUGGCCUACCAAGGCGUCGACGGGUAGCCGGCCUGAGAGGGUGGACGGCCACAUUGGGACUGAGAUACGGCCCAGACUCCUACGGGAGGCAGCAGUGGGGAAUAUUGCACAAUGGGCGCAAGCCUGAUGCAGCGACGCCGCGUGGGGGAUGACGGCCUUCGGGUUGUAAACUCCUUUCGUUAGGGACGAAGCCAUACUUUU
rnacentral:rRNA from 1 species